CCUACGGUGGGCAGCAGUGGGGAAUAUUGGGCAAUGGAGGAAACUCUGACCCAGCAACGCCGCGUGAAUGAUGAAGGUCUUCGGAUUGUAAAGUUCUUUUCUAAGGGGAGAAGAAAGUGACGGUACCUUAGGAAUAAGCCACGCCUAACUACGUCCCAGCAGCCGCACGAAUACGUAGGAGGCGAGCGGUAUCCGGAAUGACUGGGCGGAAGGGGUGCGUAGGUGGGUUGGCAAGGUAGUAGCGUAACGCCAAGGCUCAACCUUGGAACUACUACUAAAACUGUUGAACUUGAGUGCAGGAGGGGCAACCGGAAUGCCUGGUGUAGCGGUGGAAUGCGUAGAUAUUAGGAGGAACCCCAGUGGCGAAGGCGGGUUGCUAGACUGUAACUGACACUGAGGCACGAAAGCGUGGGGAGCAAACAGGAUUAGAUACCCGGGUAGUC
rnacentral:rRNA from 1 species